CACUGCUCUGGGACUGGCUGCCACUACUCCCCAAUGUGCCAGAUUUUCAAGAAUUCUGAAUUUUUGAUAUACGGAUUUAUGAAGUUAUACUGUAUUAAAUAAAAACAAG